CGCCCAUUAGCUAGCCCUCCACCCAAAAACCAACACACCCUCAUCAAUUAACCCCUAACGCACCCGCAUUAAACCAAACAAAUCAUUUUUCCCCCCAAGUAUGGGCGACAGAAAAGGAACUACGGAGCAACAGAGAAAGUACCGCAAGGGAACGCUGAAAGAGAAAUGAAAUAACCCAGUAAAGCCUAAAAAAGCAGAGAUUCGCACUUGUACCUUUUGCAUCAUGAUUUAGCUAGUAAACCCAAGCAAAGAGAACUUUAGUUUGGCACCCCGAAACUAAGUGAGCUACUCCAAGACAGCCUAAUAUAGGGCGAACCCGUCUCUGUGGCAAAAGAGUGGGAAGAGCUUCGAGUAGAGGUGACAAAUCUACCGAACUUAGUGAUAGCUGGUUGCUUGAGAAAUGGAUAGGAGUUCAGCCUUUUAGCUUCUCACUUCAAUUUUCGUUUAUACUUCAAUUAGAGCUCAAAGAAACUAAAAGAGUUAAUCUAAGGGGGUACAGCCCCUCAGAUAAAGGACACAACCUUCACAGGAGGGUAAAGAUCAUAUUUAACCCAAGGUAAAGUAUCCCGGUGGGCUUAAAAGCAGCCACCCCUUCAGAAAGCGUUAAAGCUCAAAUACACCCAACCUUCCAUCGAUCCCGAUAACACAAUCUCACCCCCCUUUCUAUAUCAAGCCAUCCCCUGCAAGCAGGGGAGAAAUAAUGCUAAUAUGAGUAAUAAGAGAAAGUAGAUUCUCUCCCUGCACAAGUGUACUUCGGAACGGACUAACCACCGAACCUUAACGUCCCCAAACAAAGAGGGAAAUGGAUUACAAACAAGACAACUAGAAAAGUAUCCAAAAUUAACCCGUUAACCCCACACUGGUGUGCUUCAUGGGAAAGACUAAAAGGAGGGGAAGGAACUCGGCAAACACUUAAAGCCUCGCCUGUUUACCAAAAACAUCGCCUCUUGCAAGACCAAUGAAUAAGAGGUCCCGCCUGCCCUGUGACUAUAUGUUUAACGGCCGCGGUAUUUUGACCGUGCGAAGGUAGCGCAAUCACUUGUCUUUUAAAUGAAGACCUGUAUGAAUGGCACCACGAGGGCUUAACUGUCUCCCUCUCCCAGUCAAUGAAAUUGAUCUCCCCGUGCAGAAGCGGGGAUAAAAACAUAAGACGAGAAGACCCUAUGGAGCUUAAGACGCCAGAACAGCCCACGUUAAACACCCCAAAAUAAAGGAAAAAACCAAGUGGACCCUGCUCUAGUGUUUUUGGUUGGGGCGACCGCGGGGAAAAACUUAACCCCCAUGUGGAAUAGGAGUACUAUACUCUUAGAUCCAAGAGCUCCCGCUCUAAUAAACAGAAUUUCUGACCAACAAGAUCCGGCAAUGCCGAUCAACGGACCGAGUUACCCUAGGGAUAACAGCGCAAUCCUCUUAAAGAGCCCUUAUCGACAAGGGGGUUUACGACCUCGAUGUUGGAUCAGGACAUCCUAAUGGUGCAGCCGCUAUUAAGGGUUCGUUUGUUCAACGAUUAAAGUCCUACGUGAUCUGAGUUCAGACCGGAGUAAUCCAGGUCAGUUUCUAUCUAUGAAAGUGAUCUUUUCUAGUACGAAAGGACCGAAAAGAAAGGGCCCCUAUCUAACGAUACGCCCUACCUCCACCUACUGAAAACAACUAAAGUAGGCAAGGAGGCACACACCCCUGCCUGAGAGAACGGCUA
rnacentral:rRNA from 1 species